rnacentral:piRNA from 1 species
UCUGAAUCUACAAAAUGCAAUGAUGUGU